GGGCGUAUGGCUCAGUUGGUUAGAGCGUUCGGUUCACAUCCGAAAGGUCGCAGGUUCAAAUCCUGCUACGCCCA
rnacentral:tRNA from 1 species